UUCAAAACCGCUCUUCAGAAACCAACGAGUGUCGUCAUGGUUUGACAGAUCCACAGAGGCUCAAGGUGCCGAAAGUCACAGAAAUACUUUGAACAGAUGUUUUCAUACAACACUAACUAUGCAACAUAUAUUCAGAAUGAGAUUGUACAAUAACACAAACAGUUCAAUAAAAUCAACAACAUCUUUCAUAACAAAACCAAAAGCGUAAAAAUCAUUUGAUAAUAAUGAGAAAAGCUCGACUUUGUCGUCAGGAGACACGAACUCAGCAAGAUGAGAACAGAUUUCACGUUCAGGGUCAUCAGAAGGGAAAAAGUGCUCUCCAGUGUUGUUGGACUGUAAGCCGGGAGGAAGAGGAAGAGGAAGAGGAAGAGAGGAACUAUGGUUGCUAUAAACAACAGGAGUCAAACUUUGGCAGCAGGUCCUGGUCCAGGUCUGACAGACCGGCAACUGAUCCUGAGAACAGGUCUGAGUUUCCAGGAAUCAGAAGAAAUAUGAGGCAGAUUGAGCCGAGAGGUCGACGACGACGCCGCAGAUACACGCCGUCGCUGUUGUGUUGUUUGUUGUUUGCAGUGUGUUGUUGUUGUUUUUUGUCUUGUAAUUUGUGCAAAUAAAUAAACUAAAACUAAAAGUGAAUUUUCGCCUCGUGUUACUCCGGCUGUGUGGUUUGUUUGUACCGACUGUACAAACGUUCAUUAAGCACAUUGUUGGUCGUUGUGAAACUUCGUUACCUCACAUGAACGGACGACUUUAUAUUUGUUCUUAUUAUCAGCUUGUCAGUCACCUGGUAAAUCGUUCUAACUGCUUCUUGUAGAAUUAAUACUUUAUUCUUAAACUAUCGUGGCUUUUACACCUCUACCUGUUUAAAUAAAUGAUUAAAUGUGUUUCCCGCUCAGUCUGAACUCAUCUUCAGAUUUCAGUCCUGAUGGAUUUGGCAUCAGCUGAGGUUAUCGGUGGUAACAGCAGGUGUGUUUUUAAUACUACAGUUCCCAGAGUUCUGUGGGAAAUAACACAGCUUGAAUGUUUGCAGAGCAGCAAAACGUUGCCUCGUCUCAUUUUUUUUUGCCUCCAUGUCGGAGUUUAAUUAUCUUUGGCCUGUCAGGAUCGUUGACUGCGGAGGAGUACUCCAGAGAAUCUUUCAGAAAGAUGAGGUAAAGGAUGGAGUUUAAAACCUCCCACCCUCUGAGGAGUCCAGUGAACGCACCACGCGGCCUCUGAGGAAACUGAGACGAGCGAGAAGCUGCUCAGAUUUUCCUUAAAUAGAAGUUUUGGCUUCUUCAGUCUCGGCCGCAGGGAGGAAGUGGCCGGUCGCCACGGCGAGAGGAACACCGUGACUCAGCGGUUUCCACGGCAACCAGUCAGAGUACAGUAGACAACAGCUGUGGGUUUAAAACAGAUUUGGAUGGAUUUCCCCCCCACUGGAGACUGACCCUGAAGAUUUGUCCCCCCCCCCCAAAAAAAAAAAACUGAGACAGAAAUCACAGCUGAGUGUUUGCAGAUGUCGUCACGUUACUUCUGUCUGUGUUUGACGUUGUUGUUGUUUGUUUGUUUGGUUGUUUCAUUCAAAUUCAACAUGUGGAGCAAAGACAGCAGCUUGGAAAUGAGUUUUAAUGCUGUCGUGUGUUUUUGUGCAAAUACACAAUUUAGAAGAUUAUCUUAAAACAAAUAACAUCAAUAACAAUAUAAAGAUGAAUGGAUCAGUUCAUCUGGUAAUACUUUAAUAAUAACUACUCUCUUAGAUUUUACAGCUGUUAUUCACUUCUGGAUUCAAUUUACAGUUUUGUCAACAAGAGUCUGGAAAUUUUCAGGAUUCACAUUCUGCAAAAACUGUUGAUGAAGAGUUUUAUUGAAUAUUAAUUAAACUAAAUCUAUUAAAGUUGGAUUGAAAGGUUUUAGUGUUACUGACACUGGAGCUGUGAAACAUUUCGACCGUCAUGUAGGGAGAGAACAUGUAAAUAAAAUGAAAUGUAUAUUUAUCUUUUAAAUACUAAGAUGAUUGUGCAGAGUUUGGUUGGUGGGGAUCUGACAGUCUCUUUUAUUUUACUUUACUUUUAUAUCAAAUAUAUAUUAAACACGUGUUUUAGAAAUCUUCUGUCACACGUCUGCUUCACUGUCAGUCGGGAUGUUUGUGAGUCAAAUCACAGCGAAUCACUUAAAAACACUCGGUAUUUUUUCCCGCCAGGUGCUUCAUGAAAUGUUCAACGAUGAAUCUUAACAGCUGAUGAGUUUAAACAGUCAAAUGAUCAGAAACUGAAGUAAAAAACAUUUACAUGAAGUAGAAAAUACGGAACUUUUAAAGGAAACGGAAGCUCUGAACUGUGUGUCGACUCCUCUGCAGACGUCAGUGAAGCAACGUUUUAUAUUUAAACUGGUGGAAUAUUAAGACCAUAUGACAUCACACACACACACACACACACACACACACACACACACACACACACACACACACACACUCA